rnacentral:sRNA from 1 species
CUGUGGAGUAUUAUACCAGAUGUAAGUAGCUUUGAAUUUAUUCAUUAGCAAAAACAGAUACAUUGAAACAGUAA